rnacentral:rRNA from 1 species
CAGCAGCCGCGGGAAUACGUAGGUGGCAAGCGUUGUCCGGAAUUAUUGGGCGUAAAGGGCUCGCAGGCGGUUUCUUAAGUCUGAUGUGAAAGCCCCCGGCUCAACCGGGGAGGGUCAUUGGAAACUGGGAAACUUGAGUGCAGAAGAGGAGAGUGGAAUUCCACGUGUAGCGGCGAAAUGCGUAGAGAUGUGGAGGAACACCAGUGGCGAAGGCGACUCUCUGGUCUGUAACUGACGCUGAGGAGCGAAAGCGUGGGGAGCGAACAGGAUUAGAUACCCCAGUAGUCCCUGUCUCUUAUAC